CGCGAGACGGUGCAUCGGUGCCUCUGACAAGUUGUUAAAUUCCGCGAUAGGCACACCCUUGUCAAACAAACAAGUUUGUCUGCUAUGUUUGAGGCUCAGGCGGCAUGGAGGUGAUCGAUACUAUUGUGGUACAAAACAGUGAGGUGGAGGCAAAGGAGACGGCGGUGUCCAGCCUGGACACGGAUAAAAGCAAAGCAGAAUUCAUUUGGACCCAGGAGGCCACAUGGCACCUGGUCAAUACCCGGCUAGAGAUGGAUCAGGCGUUCGACCAGCCUGUCUGCAAGAAAAAGAAACUCUGGGAGAUGGUGGCAGAGAAGGUGAACCUCAAACUACGGGAGUCAGAGGUCACGGACUUCACCGUGAAGGCCUAUGAGUGUGAUCUGAAGUGGAGAAACAUGCUGGCCACCUACAGAAAGAACGCAGAGAGGGCCAAGAGGCUGGGCGCCGCCAGCGUCCACUGGGAGUUCUUCAAGGCCAUGCACGAGGUCCUGGGCAAGACCAGGGAGGAGAUCGAAGCGCAGCGCCAGGCCAAGCUCAGCGGCACCAGAGUGGGCAAGGCCAUAGCCAGCAAGAGGUUCACCCCGAUCCUCCCCACGCCUCCCGCCACAGCCCCCCCCUGCCCCGCCAAGCCUCCUCAGGACGUCCUGCAGCUGUACAUGGAGCUUCAGGAGAGGAAGAUGAACAUGUGGGCGCAGCAGAGAGCUCUGGAGGAGAGGAAAGUCGAGGCCAUCAACAACCUGGCCCAGGCCAUCUCCAGCCUGGCCCAGAACAGCCGCUCACAGAUGCAGAAGGACGACCAUUAGACUCGCUCCUGAACUCUGAUCCGUGCUGUUUGCACAAACCAAAAACUUUCAUGACACCACAGGAAGAGGAAAAGCUGCAUUUCUGUAGUCUCCAUAUUGCGAUGGGUCAUGCUAUUACAGUUCAGACUGAAGAUUUUACUUUUUCGGACGUCACAGAGAGCCAGAAUUUAUAUUGAAUGAUCAAAAAUGUAUGGUUUUUCUUAUUUUUGUUUUUUAACCACACGGUACUGUAAUGGUUUAAUGACACUUGAGAGCACAAGUCACAAGAUCACACACAAACUGUACCUGAACCACUGCAGUGUUCAACACGAGGGUUUUUUUUUUCCAAUCACAAACAAGUUAUUUUAAGUUAUUUUCAUAUAUAGUUGCUGACUUGAUAAAAACUGUUUACCUUCCUGCUGCCUGCUGACAGUAACAAGGCCAUCUAGUGGUUGAAGUUGAAACUGCAACACAACCGUUCUUUUUUUUAAAUAUUAAGACACUAAUGUUCAUCACUUUAUGGUCUGCUUUUCAGAAGCACUACACAUUUCAUGAAUUCAAAGGAAAUCAUUUACAUUAACAACUAAUCAACCCUGGAAUAAAUGUUACUUUGUCUAAAGA
rnacentral:lncRNA from 1 species